rnacentral:rRNA from 1 species
CGCUGGCGGCAGGCUUAACACAUGCAAGUCGAACGGUAACAUAAAGAAGCUUGCUUCUUUGAUGACGAGUGGCGGACGGGUGAGUAAUGCUUGGGAAUCURGCUUAUGGAGGGGGAUAACUACGGGAAACUGUAGCUAAUACCGCGUAAUAUCGAGAGAUUAAAGUGUGGGACCUUCGGGCCACAUGCCAUAAGAUGAGCCCAAGUGGGAUUAGGUAGUUGGUGAGGUAAAGGCUCACCAAGCCGACGAUCUCUAGCUGGUCUGAGAGGAUGACCAGCCACACUGGGACUGAGACACGGCCCAGACUCCUACGGGAGGCAGCAGUGGGGAAUAUUGCGCAAUGGGGGCAACCCUGACGCAGCCAUGCCGCGUGAAUGAAGAAGGCCUUCGGGUUGUAAAGUUCUUUCGGUAGCGAGGAAGGCAUUUAGUUUAAUAGACUAGAUGAUUGACGUUA